AUUGAACGCUGGCGGCAUGCUUUACACAUGCAAGUCGAACGGCAGCACGGGGGCAACCCUGGUGGCGAGUGGCGAACGGGUGAGUAACACAUCGGAACGUGUCCAGUUGUGGGGGAUAACCCAUCGAAAGGUGGGCUAAUACCGCAUGAGAUCGAGAGAUGAAAGCGGGGGAUCGCAAGACCUCGCGCGAUUGGAGCGGCCGAUGUCCGAUUAGCUAGUUGGGGGGUAAAGGCCUACCAAGGCGACGAUCGGUAGCUGGUCUGAGAGGAUGAUCAGCCACACUGGGACUGAGACACGGCCCAGACUCCUACGGGAGGCAGCAGUGGGGAAUUUUGGACAAUGGGGGCAACCCUGAUCCAGCCAUGCCGCGUGAGUGAA
rnacentral:rRNA from 1 species